rnacentral:rRNA from 1 species
GUGCACCAGGCGCGAAAACUGGCCAAUGCGCGAAAGCGUGAGCCGGCUAGUCCGAGUGAUAGCCCAUCGGCUAUCUUUUGUCAAGUGUUUAUAGCUUGGCGAAUAAUGAGAGGGCAAGACUGGUGCCAGCCGCCGCGGUAAAACCAGCUCUUAGAGUGGUGAUCAUGUUUAUUUGGCUUAAAGGGUGCGUAGCAGGACAGCGUAAGUCCCCUGUGAAAUGCUCGGUCUUAAGCCGAGCGCGGGCAGGGGAUACUGUGCGUCUUGGGACCGGGAUAGGUGUAAUGUACGCGUUGGGUAGGGGUGAAAUCCGAUAAUCCAACGCGGACAACCGGUGGCGAAGGCGUUACACUGGAACGGGUCCGACUGUGAGGCACGAAAGCUAGGGUCGCGAGCCGGAUUAGAUACCCCCGUAGUCC